UUUUGAUUCUAUAACAACUAUGGAAAGUAGGAGAUAUUAUCCUUGUUUUACAGAUAACAAAAUUGGGACUGAGGAAGGUCAAGUGACUUGUCCAAAUUCACACAGUUAGUAAAUAUACAAACUACAUUUGAAUUCAAGUUUUCUUGACUCUGAGCCCAUUGUUCAAUCCAUUGUACCACCCAGUUGCAUAGGGUCACACAGCCAGUUGGUGUCAGAGUGACAAUUGAAUCCAUAUUUUUUGGCUUUGAGGUCAGAUUGCUACCCUUUACAUUAUGCUGACUCUGAAUUUCUGUAUCUACAUAUCUUUUAUUUAUCUCUGUGUCUAAUAUUCUGUCUUUCUAUGUCAUAAUAGAAUAAUCUAGAUUCACAUUAUUCUUUGGAAAUGGAUUAUGACCUUGGCUCCAACCAGCCAUAGGAUAUAAGUUGCAGAGAGAAUGCUUACUUGGAUUGGUAGAGGUAGUUUCCUAUGCCAAUGAAGUCAUAGGUCCAUAUAUCCCUAAUUCAUAUGACAAAGUAACUUGGAAGCCUUCCCUAAUGGUUCUCCAGCAUUUCCAGAAAGAGAAUAAUAGUAUUAGAGUUUCUCUGCCAUGUGCCUGUCCAAUUCCUACUUUUGGAAGUGAACUCCUUGAAGGCAAGGACCAGAUUUCUAUCCCUAGGACUCAGCACCAUACCUGAUACACUGUCUGUCAACUCUGCAUUUAUCGACUGAUUUAUCAGAAUGUCAACUGAGACUGAAGGCUGAUGGGCAACAAAUAAUCUGAGGCUGCUCUUGAUCUUGGAAAAUAUGCUCCUUAAUUAAGAAGUAAAAGAAGAAGUUCAGCUAUAUCUGGAUUUGGAAAAAAUGUAUUUGUAUCCCCAAAAAAUUAGGCUUAAAUUCUAAUUGUUAUUGGUCAUUAAUAUUAUAAACAUGCAUUUUAAUUACAUUAACUGAUUUUUUUACCAAAUCAUUUGUCUUUAAACUUCUAAAUAAUUCAUAAAUCAGGAAGACUAAGGUUAUUAUCUUCAUACACUGGGUGACUUGACUGUACUGUCUGGUUAGGUCAGGAAAGAAAAUAAAGUCAUUUAAAAAGUACA
rnacentral:lncRNA from 1 species